UGGGGAAUAUUGCACAAUGGGCGCAAGCCUGAUGCAGCCAUGCCGCGUGUGUGAAGAAGGCCUUCGGGUUGUAAAGCACUUUCAGCGAGGAGGAAGGUGGUGAGCUUAAUACGCUCAUCAAUUGACGUUACUCGCAGAAGAAGCACCGGCUAACUCCGUGCCAGCAGCCGCGGUAAUACGGAGGGUGCAAGCGUUAAUCGGAAUUACUGGGCGUAAAGCGCACGCAGGCGGUUUGUUAAGUCAGAUGUGAAAUCCCCGGGCUCAACCUGGGAACUGCAUUUGAAACUGGCAAGCUAGAGUCUCGUAGAGGGGGGUAGAAUUCCAGGUGUAGCGGUGAAAUGCGUAGAGAUCUGGAGGAAUACCGGUGGCGAAGGCGGCCCCCCUGGACGAAGACUGACGCUCAGGUGCGAAAGCGUGGGGCAGCAAACAGGAUUAGAUACCCUGGUAGUCCACGCUGUAAACGAUGUCGACUUUGGAGGUUGUGCCCUUGAGGCGUGGCUUCCGGAGCUAACGCG
rnacentral:rRNA from 1 species